GGCUCAUAUGGGUGCUGAUUUAUAAGCUCACCUGGGUGCUGAUUUAGGCUCAUAUGGGUGCUGAUUUAGGCUCAUAUGGGUGCUGAUUUAUAAGCUCACCUGGGUGCUGAUUUAGGCUCAUAUGGGUGCUGAUUUAUAAGCUCACCUGGGUGCUGAUUUAGGCUCAUAUGGGCAGGCCGAGUGAGACGUGGUAAGUAAACAAAGCAGGUGCUCAGAUUACAACACACACAGAGGGAGAGAGGCUUCAUAUCUCAGGUCAGAUAAAUAUUGCUGCACUCUAUCUACAUUCCUGCUAUAUAUCACAUAUGUCUUUAGCAUUCUAUUGGGGUCUUGAAUGUUUAAACGAGACACAUUUUCGCUCCUGCACUUUCCUCCUUGAACUUGUACAUUUUUGCAGAUUGCCAGCGGCGGUGCCAAGUGCAGUUAAUCCAACCGUGAUCAUUACUAGACAUAAAAUAACUUGAGUGGUCUGCAGCCUUCACCGAGCUAGAAUGAAGAUUUCAGGAUACAGCAGUUUAUCCCGAGGUAGCAUCUAUUGUCAUAAUCUUCUUGGCAAGAGCAACCUUGAGACGUCUGCGUUUCUCUCUGUGAUGGAGAAAGCAGUGGGCGGGUUUAAACAAUGCGUGUAACGUCAGGGGGCCUCAAAUGUCACAGCACACAAAUCAAUAGUGUUAGAGGGACCAACUCGGGCUCUCUACUGAAUCCUGAUCCUCAUAAAGUUUGUUCCGCCCCAAACAGUCUAUUGGUCAUCCCAGUGAUUCUAUGGGUCAAAAAGAACCACCAGUUAAUUUCUGAAUUACUUUCCGGUCAGAAGUCUUUUAAGUACUGUGAGGUAAUCUUUUGAGAAUAAUCCCCUUGAGUGAGACGGUGACCUUUUCAUGAAGCUAAGCAGCACUAUGAUAAUUAAUGAUUGCGCCUCAGGUUGAAACUCCCACACACAAAAACAUUUGGACAUUCAUUUACGUUUUUGAGCAUUGUUUUCGGUAUUUUGGCCUCCGCCAUCUUACAUCUUGACGAACUGUCAUGGAUGGAAAACACAGUUUGAGAGGUUUGAGGGGACGAUAUUUAGUGCAGUAUGGACCCGUCAAAUGCAAACCAGUCAUGGCCUGAAGCCUAAUCUGCUUUAAAGUCUAUUUGACUGUAAACGGGACAUCAUUUAGGAAAUGAAUACCACGAUAUAUCGAGACGAUAAAACCACACAAAGGAGAAGGGAAUGUUCUUUUUCAUAGACUUCCAUCCCACUGACCCACUUUAACAGCCACAGGAGGCUCCCCGGAUGGCCAGUAGAAAGAAUAAAAGUUUAUGGUACCUGGUGGGUACAUCGAGGGGACUCGCUUUAAAGUGAUCGGUGGCACUGAGGUGAACUUUCUUCACAACAAGGCUGUUCAUGGCGGGUAUUUCUCCGUUUUGUUUCCCCGGCUGGUGAGAAACGUCUCCAGCUGCUGUCUGUUAUCCGGCUGUUUGAGCCGCUGUCGCUGGUUCCGUAUGAAAGCUUUGUCGUUUUAAAGAGUCCGGGUCACUUUGAGGCCGCUCCACCAUUUCACACCUCUCUUUUUGUGGUGGUUGUUGUGCGUUUGGCUCUUCUCGGCAGGCCAAGCUUUCUUCACGCCCCCGAAGAGGGCUUUUCUUUUUCUGCCUUCAACAUUAUUCUGUUGUGUUGAUUUAGAUAAUAUUCAAGCAAACGUUCAACAUGUAUUGGAGGUACAGGGCUUCUAACUGUAAACAGACACACUUCCCACGCACUCUCACCGACACACACACACAAACACCGUCUCUGCUCUCGAGCUGUAGAUAAGAAUGCGAGGUGGGAUAAGUCGGACGCCAUUUAGCCGAGGUCUUAUCACCCCCCCAAAACCUCUGUGGGUGACGUCCCGUGUCUCUCUCUCUCUUCUAUUCUAUUCUUCUUCUCUCUUCCGCUCUGUUGUUUUGAAUGUGGUGUUGUGUCAAUAUCUCGAUCACGAUUUCAUUUCAUUUUCAUGCCAUAGACGGCAUCGCUAUGGUCCCCCAGCGCUUCAAGUCUUCCAUUUUGAAUAAAACAAUACUUCACUUCAAAAAAAAUCAUGACAACUCCAUUGUUGUGUUUCAUUGUUGCCGCCGUUCAUUGGAGAGAAGCUGCAUCACGUGUUACUUGAUGGUCGUAAAGAGUGAAUAGAAAUCACGGCGUAUUUAGAUGAACUGAGCUUGUGUCUUUUUCUUUGUUGUCGUUCAACUCACAGUUCGACAUUCGGUAGCAUCACACACGACGUAUUGUUGCUGUUGUCUUGUAAACAGGUUUUUGCCACAUUUCUCAGCACUGUUCCUGGGGCUUCAUAGCAAUGGGUUGUUCUGAAAUAAAUGCCAUUUUUCAUACGGGGUGAUUCUGCAGCAUUAAACCUGUGUUUACAAUAUUCCUUAUUGUAGCAUCCCUUCAACUUGGAAUAAACAGGCUUGGGAGUGUUUCCAGACGGGUG
ensembl:lncRNA